rnacentral:lncRNA from 1 species
CAACUUCUCCACUCGCCUCCAGGAAUGGGUGUUGUAAAAGUCAAGUCAGCAUGUAUGAGAACACCAAUCUAUAAGAGUGUUCAACAAAGGAAGGCAUUGUUAUUUUACUAUCAUUAUUUUUACUACUUUAUGUUAUUUUGGAAAGAGCCAAGUCACCGAGGUGUCUUCUAUUAAAUCAAUUAGCCUGGAAGGAGAACUAAGCAAGAUGAGAAACUGAACGUAUCUGUGACUCUGCAAGCAGUCCCUGACGCUGUGGUGGGAUCCAGGCCUGGACGCUGUGGAUAAGGAAACCAGCAACAUGGGGACAGAUAAAAGUAAGAAGCAGGUUACCUUCGCUCUCUGGUUUUGGAACCACACCUGGACGACACGGACACUCAGCCCUGUCUCUGCAGCCAGAGUCUCUCUCACCUUGGAAAAAUUGAACGAGAAAUGUAGACACACUGGCAUCUCAGGGUAGGAGGUAGAACAUCUCCUAUAUAAUACUUGAGGAGGCCAAAAGACUGUAUCUGCUUUAGGAGCUGAAUAGUUUUUAAUGUUGAGCAUACACACAAACACGAGAACAUUGCUUCCCUUCAGGUAGAAAGAAAGUCCUUCACCAGGUAACUUUGGGUGUUUCAUGAAUAUCCAUAGUGACUGCUACCCCAAGUGAGCCCUGCCCAAAGAGAAUAAAAUGAGAGCCAUCUGGAACCCGGCAGAGCCAGGAAGUGUGGCCACAGGACUACAUUCUGGCCAACACAUAUGAGGAGAAAUGAUUUGAGCAACCCCUGGAUACAUCCUUAAAAAGCAGGGCGCUUGCCCUCCAUUUCCUCUUUCUCUACCUGGUGACUGGAAACAUGGUGACAACUGGAGCAGUCGCUUGGACACAGGAGAUGGAUAACAGAGCCACCCACCAGCCUUGCCUUGCUCACCUCUGGACUGUGACAGAAGAGAAUAAACUCCUGUCUCAUUAAA